GACACUUGGAAAACGGCCUUUAUAAGACCAAACCUCUUCCAUCCAUAAACAUACUCAACACUGAGAGCGCACUCAACACUGAGAGCACACUCAACACAGCGGCACCCAUGGAUUUUCUCAAAAGUUUGACUGGUGAUACUGACAUUGCAAAGGCAGCAGGUGAAUUCGUGGAGAGCGGGGUGAAAAGUUUCCUGGGUUCUGGAGAUGAGAAAGCCGAGGGAGCACCCAGUGCUGAAGGAGACGCCCCCGUCACUGAUGGCGAAAAGACAGAUGACGUUGCAGAAGAUAGCGGUGAAAAUAAAGCUGACGAUCAAAAAGAACCUGCCGAUAACGCCGAGCAGUAAGAAGGAAGAGGAGUAAUGAAAGUUGUUGAAGGACUCUUCAAUUAGACAGCCUGCAGACCACAUCCAUCAACCUCAGAGAGGAGCAACUCCACCUGAACUGGUGUCAUAUGAAACAUGCACAACAUCAUAACUAAAUGUUUCAUUGAAUGUAACAAAUUUAUCAACUGUGCUGAGGAAAUCUGUGAAGCUUGUUAGACAAGCUAUGAUGCAUUACUAAAAUGGUUUGACCUUAACCUAUUUGGUUAAAAAUAUCUAUAAAUCUUUAAUGCCACCUGGAGACGACCAGUGUUCUCUGUGUCAUGAUUAAACAGUCAUUGUCAUAAAUUACAUGUACACCAGUGCAAAUCCUCUUCUGUAUUUUGGUGAAGACUGCUGAUGCUAAUUAAACUGCUUCAGCAACA